CCUACGGGUGGCAGCAGUGGAGAAUAAUUGUCAAUGGGCGAAACCCUGAUCGUGCCAUGCCGCGUGGAGGAAUGUAGCCCUUCGGAUUGUAAACUCCUGUUAUGUGGGAGCAAAUUGAACAGAUAGUACCACAAGAGGAAGACAUGCGUAACACCGUGCGAUCAGCCGCGGCAAUACAGAGGUGUCAGGCGUGGUGCGGAUUCAUUGGGCGGAAGGGGUGCGUAUGCAGGUUGGUAAGGCGGGUGUGAAAGUCGCGGGCUCAACCGGCGAAGUGCACAUGAUACUGUGAGACUGGAGUACUGAUGAGGUAGGCGGAAUUCGUGGUGUAGCAGUGAAAUGCAUAGAUAUCACGAAGAACACUGAUUGCGAAGGCAGCUUACUAAAC
rnacentral:rRNA from 1 species